GUGUGUGUGGUGGUGUGUGUGUGUGUGGAGGUGUGUGUGUGUGUGUGUGUGUGUGUGUGUGUGUGUGUGUGUGUGGUGUGUGUGUGUGUGUGUGUGUGGUGUGUGUGUGUGGUGUGUGUGUGUGUGGAGGUGUGUGGAGGUGUGUGUGUGUGUGGAGGUGUGUGUGUGUGGAGGUGUGUGUGUGGAGGUGUGUGUGUGGAGGUGUGUGUGGAGGUGUGUGUGUGUGUGUGUGUGUGUGUGUGUGUGUGUGGAGGUGUGUGUGUGUGUGUGUGUGUGGAGGUGUGUGGAGGUGUGUGUGUGGAGGUGUGUGUGUGUGGAGGUGUGCGUGUGUGGAGGUGUGUGUGUGUGUGUGUGUGUGUGUGUGUGUGUGUGGAGGUGUGUGUGUGUGUGGAGGUGUGUGUAUGUUUGGAGGUGGAGGUCUGUGGGUGCGCGUAUCUCCCUG
ensembl:lncRNA